rfam:Capsicum annuum cultivar Zunla-1 chromosome 3, whole genome shotgun sequence
UGAUGGUGAUGAGGAUAAUUUCUAAGCAUACCCUUAAAUCUUUCCUAUGCUUGGUAAAGAUUUUCUUCUUUUUUCGGCCUGAAACUCAGAAUCUCGCUUCUUAAGGG